UACGAAGGGUGCAAGCGUUACUCGGAAUUACUGGGCGUAAAGCGUGCGCAGGCGGUUUUGUAAGUCAGAUGUGAAAUCCCCGGGCUUAACCUGGGAACUGCGUUUGAAACUACAAGGCUAGAGUGUGGCAGAGGGGGGGUGGAAUUCCACGUGUAGCAGUGAAAUGCGUAGAGAUGUGGAGGAACACCGAUGGCGAAGGCAGCCCCCCUGGGUUAACACUGACGCUCAGGCACGAAAGCGUGGGGAGCAAACAGG
rnacentral:rRNA from 1 species